GUGCCUGCCUGGCUGCCCCUACCCUGGGGCUCCCUCCUAGCCCCCACCUCACCUACUGGCUCACUGAGACAGAGCCAAACAUGAAAGGGAAGGUGACGGCCUGGCCAUAGGGCCCAGGAAAAUGCAGCCAGGAUUGAAGGAGAUCCCAUCUUGGGUCUAAAGGAAUGGGGGUGAAGACUGCAUCUUGUCGUUCCAGUUCCACCCCAUUCUGGCAUGGGAAGCAUGUGUGGGCUUCUACUCUAUGGGAGAUUCAUAGCCUCAAUCCUUAAGGAAUUCUCAAUCUGAAAGGAAAACACAAACCCUGACCUCAGGGAGCUCCCAGUUUGACAGUGGAGACAGAGAGGCCCUGCAUCAAGUAGAAAAACAACCCCCACUGCUCUCAAGCACACAGCAAUGAAGAUAUGUAUCCUUGGUGCUACAGGCAAAUGCUGACGAUACGACAGUGAAUACAACAUGAAAAAACAAGCACACUUCUCACCCCUAUGGAGCUUUAUUCUGGUCAGGCAGAAGGAGAAGGAAAUGUAAACAUGCAAGGAGCAACUUUUUGGCACUCCCAUUUUGCAGAAGAGGAAACAGCCUGCCUAGGUCUGCUGAUUCCUGUCCUGGGCAAGCUAAAGUCAAUGGAGUUCACACCCCAAGCAAGAGAAGAGCUUGCCCUAGCCUUCAUCCAGCCUCAUGUGUCUGCGAUUUGGCUAGAAAUUGUUCAGGGGAAUCUUAAUUAGCAUUCACCUGUGGUGUUGUGUUAAAAAAACAAAAAAACAAAAAACACCUCACUUCAGGUUCCAAAGUCUGAGUUGGAGUAAAAAGAUUGUUGGAAUCCAGGAUCCACCAUACAACUGCUAAGCCUGUUUCUUCAUCUGUAAAAUGAGAAUGACAAUGUCUACCUCAUAGGAUAGGUUUGAGGGUAGAGUGUGUUAAAGAACUCUUAAGGACCUUUUGUCAGACCCAGCUUGACCACAAGAUUGAGCUGAAUCUGAAUAAACAUUCUAGAACACUGCCAGAAAA
ensembl:lncRNA LINC02537 long intergenic non-protein coding RNA 2537